GUCAAGAAAAUUCAGAACUAGAACUAAACAGUGUGGUGGUUAAACUUCUCCUGAUCUCUACCAUAUAGUGUUUAAACUUCUGAACUCUACAGCGUGGUAUUUAAACUUCUCCUGAUCUCUACAUUCUGGUGUUUAAACUUCUCCUGACCUCUAUGGUGUGGUGUUUAAAUUUAUCCUGACCUCUACGCUAUGGGCUCAGACAUGCUGACUGAAAUAUUUUUAAUUUUGCCAGACUGCGUCGCUGAUCGUUCUAAACACUACAGAAAUGACAUUUAGCAGGAGAAUUAACACUGCUGAAUUUUAUCAAUCUCUCACCGUGUCAUCAUCAAACCCAGCCAGUCGGAUGAUCUUCUCGGCCACACGUGCAUUCCUCUCAUCCAUCUCCACCGAGUAGAGCCGAGCACCGAGAGGCAGUGAGCGAGCGAUUCUCACUGUGGUGUAGCCGCAGUGAGUCCCCAGUUCUAACACCGUCAGAGGACAAAGCUCCUUCAGCAGACGGUCCAGAAUCAAACCUGAGACAUUGCAAGAAGUUUACUCCAACUUUACACUGUGUGUGUAAUCUAUACCUUUUUUAGGUCAUAUAGGGCUGAUGAACUCGAUUGUGUGUGUGAGAUCUAUACCUUUUUUAGGUCCUAUAUGGCUGAUGAACUCGACAUUGCUGCACCAGAGGUCAAAGGUAUCGAGGAUGCUGUCAGGAUCUCCUGGUGUGGCGUGUGUGAGGACAUACUGGUACACUCUCUCCUCCCUGCUGAUGCCUGUCAUAAAGUCCUGAACCCAGCGGAGCAGCACGGCCCGAUAGAACAGCACGAAGUAGAACCGGUACCGGAUGAUCAGCGUGAGCAACAACGGCACGAAGGCCAGAGCAAUGGCUGCAGACACCAUUUCCCACAAUGCACUGCUGCAGUUUAAUAUCAAGAGAUGUUCACAUUCUUCUUCACAUGUGUUACAGCAAAUAGCAUGAGUAGUUAGCACUUGCAAGAAAAGGUUGUCCCCCCCCUUCUCAUCCUCCAUGACAAUAAUGACAUCAUGAAAUAUUAUUUAUUAUUUAGUGAACCUGCAGCUCACUAUCUCCACACACACAAAACACAACACAUACCUUAUUGUAAAACCUCUAGGCUCCGGCUGUUUCUUUCUCUAAACACACUUAAGUGAAAUCAUUCUAAAUCAUUUGAUUGGCUGAGAUAUUUUUCUCUAUUUAUUUUGACUGGAUGCUGACAUUUCAUGUGUAAAAAAUGCUAGCAUGCUAAUAAAGGAAGAUUCCUCAGA